rnacentral:lncRNA from 1 species
GGGACUUGGAGGGCGGCCAGCUUUCCGUUCCCAGGGUGCCUUCUGGCGGGGGCGAGGGUUGUCUGCAUCCCAGCUGGGCAGCUGGAGGAUACUGGACCCGCCUGGACUCCAGGGUCAGCCUUGCCACCCACUAGCUGCAUGCUCUGCAUCAGGGACCUGAAUAAUGCUGACAGCACAAAGUGCCCGGCCCUGCUGCAAAGUUCUCUGCAAGUUCCUACCUCCCAAUACCCCUUUGAAGUAGGUGCUGCUAACGUAAUAAGGAACAUGGUCUCCUCCAGUGACUGAUGGUGCAGGCUAGCCUUGAAGGACAGCUCUUCCUCCCUCCACACACUGCCAGCGCCAACUUUGUCUGACGAUCCUAGGUUGUGUCAAGUCAGCAAUUAAAACCAUCACACUCCUACCAGGCCUGGCGGUGCAUUCAUUUCAUCCCAGCACUCAGGAGGCAGAGACCAAGUUUCUUCAGCAGAAAAUGGAGGCUUGUAACAGAUGCACUGUGAGGCUGAGGCUGCACAGAAAACAGCUGAAGCACAGCCCUUCGAGAGUCCCGUGGAGAACUCGAGGAACAGGGGUGUCAAACCAAACACCAGAAGAAAAACUCUGUGAGACAUUCUGUGCCCAGUCUCCCUGAAUUCUGCAAACCCACUUUCUCCGCUAGAGUGAAGGUAACCGAGUCCUGGCCGUGAAAGCUGACUGGUAAUGCCUAGAGUUCGUCGCAAGGUGGCAACAUUGUGGCGAGAAAUAGAUAUUAAAAAUCCUGG